CGGGGGACAAAGUGACAGGUGGUGCAUGGUUGUCGUCAGCUCGUGUCGUGAGAUGUUGGGUUAAGUCCCGCAACGAGCGCAACCCUUAAGCUUAGUUGCCAUCAUUAAGUUGGGCACUCUAGGUUGACUGCCGGUGACAAACCGGAGGAAGGUGGGGAUGACGUCAAAUCAUCAUGCCCCUUAUGAUUUGGGCUACACACGUGCUACAAUGGACAAUACAAAGGGCAGCUAAACCGCGAGGUCAUGCAAAUCCCAUAAAGUUGUUCUCAGUUCGGAUUGUAGUCUGCAACUCGACUACAUGAAGCUGGAAUCGCUAGUAAUCGUAGAUCAGCAUGCUACGGUGAAUACGUUCCCGGGUCUUGUACACACCGCCCGUCACACCACGAGAGUUUGUAACACCCGAAGCCGGUGGAGUAACCAUUUAUGGAGCUAGCCGUCGAAGGUGGGACAAAUGAUUGGGGUGAAGUCGUAACAAGGUAGCCGUAUCGGAAGGUGC
rnacentral:rRNA from 1 species